AUGACUUUGCUGCAGGGGGGUAGACGCUGCGGCUGUCUCCUUAGCCGGGGACUGGAAAAAAACCAGGGAAGGAUUUCAGCCCACGGGAUUUCCAUGGCCCCACGGUGCACGCAGCUGCCCCAGCAGCCGGGGGGGGAGCACCAACGUGGGGCCCCCCGGCUGUGCCCCCGCAGCCAGCCAGGUCCUGAAAUCUGCUUAUUUCAGAGCACGCAGGGGCUGGCAACGGGCUGCAGGGGCUCCUUCCUCGUCUUCCUCAGUGCCAUGCGUGGCUGGGGGGCUGCAGCGUGGGGCGGGAUGCAGAGAGGCAGCGGGGAGGCAGGCAAGAGGGGUGCAGGCGGGCACCGGGGGGUCCCGGGGGACCCGGGUUCAGCAGGAUCCGUGCAGAUCGCCCCCGAGGGACACAGCGGUGGGGGACGAGGAGCGGCGAGCAGGAGGCCGGGGGCUGGCUCAGGUCCCUGCCCAGCAGGACCUCGGCGGGCGAGGGGCAGCACUCAGGGUUUCUUCCCUCUCCACUGCAUCGUGAAGUUGGCGUGCGGGAACCUGACCUGCAGCCUGUGCUGGAGCUGGGGGCAAAGAACGGCCGUGACACCACGCAGCAUUUACGGGUGGUGCCGGAGGGGUUCUCCUGCCCCCUGUCCCCACCCAGGAAGGGACCCCAGACAAAGGAGAGACCCCCCCCUUGGGAAGGGCUGCGGGCACACCUCACCUCGGACACGAUCAGGUCCUGCACCUUUGUGUUCCCGACGUCCAGGGAGCUGGCCAGGCGCAUCGACAGGAAGAUGUGGGACUCCCCUGGGAGCAGAAGACACACAGCUCUGCUUGUUCCCCUUCCACCCUGCGCCAUGGCAGGGCCUGGGGUCUCUCCCCAGCACCACGACCAGAGCUGUACAGGGUCAGGAGUGCCACCCACCCUCAGGCACGGACAGGGGGUGUCUGUGCCACCCUGCUCUGUGCCACCAGCAGGAGAACAACCCUCCGUGCGCACAGCAAACCACGCAUCCCACCCACCACCGGUACCUCCAGGCUGAGAACACGGCAAGAGGGGCUGCAGGACACCCCCCAAAAGGCCACCACCAUGCCGGGGGGGUGGUGAUGCCCAUGGGACACGUGUGGCCCUACCAGCCAGACGUCAGAGAAGAGUUUGGGGUCCCAGGAGGUGGCACUUACUGA
rnacentral:lncRNA from 1 species